rnacentral:rRNA from 1 species
ACGGGGCGCAGCAGGGGGGGAUAUUGCGCAAUGGGGGAAACCCUGACGCAGCGACGCCGCGUGAAGGAUGGAGGUUUUCGGAUCGUAAACUUCUUUGACCGGGGACGAAGAAAUGACGGUACCCGGGGAACAAGCCACGGCUAACUACGUGCCAGCAGCCGCGGUAAUACGUAGGUGGCGAGCGUUGUCCGGAUUUACUGGGUGUAAAGGGCGCGUAGGCGGGGCGGCAAGUCCGAUGUGAAAUCCCGCGGCUCAACCGUGGAACCGCAUCGGAAACUGUCGUCCUUGAGUAUCGGAGGGGAAAGCGGAAUUCCUAGUGUAGCGGUGAAACGCGUAGAUAUUAGGAGGAACACCGGUGGCGAAGGCGGCUUUCUGGCCGAAAACUGACGCUGAGGCGCGAAAGCGUGGGGAGCAAACAGGAUUAGAUACCCUGGUAGUCCACGCCGUAAACGAUGGAUACUAGGUGUGGGAGGUAUCGACCCCUUCCGUGCCGUCGUAAACACAUUAAGUAUCCCACCUGGGGAGUACGGCCGCAAGGCUGAAACUCAAAGGAAUUGGCGGGGGAGCACA